UACAGAGGUCUCAAGCGUUGUUCGGAUUCAUUGGGCGUAAAGGGUGUGUAGGUGGCGCCGUAAGUCGGGUGUGAAAUUUCGGAGCUUAACUCCGAAACUGCAUUCGAUACUGCGGUGCUUGAGGACUGGAGAGGAGACUGGAAUUCAUGGUGUAGCAGUGAAAUGCGUAGAUAUCGUAAGGAAGACCAGUGGCGAAGGCGGGUCUCUGGACAGUUCCUGACGCUGAGGCACGAAGGCCAGGGGAGCAAACGGG
rnacentral:rRNA from 1 species